rnacentral:miRNA from 1 species
AACUUGACACGUUGAGCUC